rnacentral:rRNA from 1 species
UGUGAACUCGAAGAGUAGGGCGGGACACGUGGUAUCCUGUCUGAAUAUGGGGGGACCAUCCUCCAAGGCUAAAUACUCCUGACUGACCGAUAGUGAACCAGUACCGUGAGGGAAAGGCGAAAAGAACCCCGGCGAGGGGAGUGAAAAAGAACCUGAAACCGUGUACGUACAAGCAGUGGGAGCACCUUCGGGUGUGACUGCGUACCUUUUGUAUAAUGGGUCAGCGACUUAUAUUCUGUAGCAAGGUUAACCGUAUAGGGGAGCCGCAGGGAAACCGAGUCUUAACUGGGCGUUAAGUUGCAGGGUAUAGACCCGAAACCCGGUGAUCUAGCCAUGGGCAGGUUGAAGGUUGGGUAACACUAACUGGAGGACCGAACCGACUAAUGUUGAAAAAUUAGCGGAUGACUUGUGGCUGGGGGUGAAAGGCCAAUCAAACCGGGAGAUAGCUGGUUCUCCCCGAAAGCUAUUUAGGUAGCGCCUCGUGAAUUCAUCUUCGGGGGUAGAGCACUGUUUCGGCUAGGGGGUCAUCCCGACUUACCAACCCGAUGCAAACUACGAAUACCG